rnacentral:rRNA from 1 species
GAGCUUGCUCCCUGCUGACGAGCGGCGGACGGGUGAGUAAUGCAUAGGAAUCUGCCCGGUAGUGGGGGAUAACCUGGGGAAACCCAGGCUAAUACCGCAUACGUCCUACGGGAGAAAGCAGGGGACCUUCGGGCCUUGCGCUAUCGGAUGAGCCUAUGUCGGAUUAGCUGGUUGGUGAGGUAAUGGCUCACCAAGGCAACGAUCCGUAGCUGGUCUGAGAGGAUGAUCAGCCACAUCGGGACUGAGACACGGCCCGAACUCCUACGGGAGGCAGCAGUGGGGAAUAUUGGACAAUGGGGGCAACCCUGAUCCAGCCAUGCCGCGUGUGUGAAGAAGGCCUUCGGGUUGUAAAGCACUUUCAGUGAGGAAGAAGGCCUUGGGGCUAAUACCCUCGAGGAAGGACAUCACUCACAGAAGAAGCACCGGCUAACUCCGUGCCAGCAGCCGCGGUAAUACGGAGGGUGCGAGCGUUAAUCGGAAUUACUGGGCGUAAAGCGCGCGUAGGUGGCUUGAUAAGCCGGUUGUGAAAGCCCCGGGCUCAACCUGGGAACGGCAUCCGGAACUGUCAGGCUAGAGUGCAGGAGAGGAAGGUAGAAUUCCCGGUGUAGCGGUGAAAUGCGUAGAGAUCGGGAGGAAUACCAGUGGCGAAGGCGGCCUUCUGGACUGACACUGACACUGAGGUGCGAAAGCGUGGGUAGCAAACAGGAUUAGAUACCCUGGUAGUCCACGCCGUAAACGAUGUCGACUAGCCGUUGGGUCCCUCGCGGACUUUGUGGCGCAGUUAACGCGAUAAGUCGACCGCCUGGGGAGUACGGCCGCAAGGUUAAAACUCAAAUGAAUUGACGGGGGCCCGCACAAGCGGUGGAGCAUGUGGUUUAAUUCGAUGCAACGCGAAGAACCUUACCUACCCUUGACAUCCUCGGAAUCUGUCGGAGACGGCGGAGUGCCUUCGGGAACCGAGUGACAGGUGCUGCAUGGCUGUCGUCAGCUCGUGUUGUGAAAUGUUGGGUUAAGUCCCGUAACGAGCGCAACCCUUGUCCCUAUUUGCCAGCGAUUCGGUCGGGAACUCUAGGGAGACUGCCGGUGACAAACCGGAGGAAGGUGGGGACGACGUCAAGUCAUCAUGGCCCUUACGGGUAGGGCUACACACGUGCUACAAUGGCCGGUACAAAGGGUUGCGAAGCCGCGAGGUGGAGCUAAUCCCGAAAAGCUGGUCUCAGUCCGGAUCGGAGUCUGCAACUCGACUCCGUGAAGUCGGAAUCGCUAGUAAUCGUGAAUCAGAAUGUCACGGUGAAUACGUUCCCGGGCCUUGUACACACCGCCCGUCACACCAUGGGAGUGGACUGCACCA